CCUGACGGUAGUCGUAUGCUCGUCUCCGAGACUAAGCCAUGCAAGUCCAAGUACACGUCCUUGAACGACGGAAACUGCGAACGGCUCAUUAAAUCAGUUGCGAUCUACUCGGCGUUCCGCGCCGCCGGAUAACCGUAGUAAUUCUAGGGCUAAUACGUGCGAAGCGCCCGAAGCCGCGAGGCGACGGGCGUUCUCGCCGGAUGUAGGGAAACCGACCCCGGGGGACCCGCCGGGGGCAACCCCGGCGCCCCCCGAGACGGGGCGAACCACGGUGAAAUGACGGAUCGUCGGCCCCGCGCCGGCGACUCGCCGAAUGAGUUUCUGACCUAUCAACUCGAGACGGCGGGGUAGAGGCCCGCCGCGGUAACGACGGGUAACGGGGAAUCAGGGUUCGAUUCCGGAGAGGGAGCCCGAGAAACGGCUACCACUUCCAAGGAAGGCAGCAGGCGCGCAACUUACCCCUAAUCUCGAUUCGAGGAGGUAGUGACAAGAAAUA
rnacentral:rRNA from 1 species